rnacentral:tRNA from 1 species
AUGAAUAGGCGGGCCUC